rnacentral:rRNA from 1 species
GACGAACGCUGGCGGCGUGCUUAACACAUGCAAGUCGAACGGAAAGGCCCUGCUUUUGUGGGGUGCUCGAGUGGCGAACGGGUGAGUAACACGUGAGUAACCUGCCCUUGACUUUGGGAUAACUUCAGGAAACUGGGGCUAAUACCGGAUAGGAGCUCCUGCUGCAUGGUGGGGGUUGGAAAGUUUCGGCGGGUGGGGAUGGACUCGCGGCUUAUCAGCUUGUUGGUGGGGUAGUGGCUUACCCAGGCUUUGACGGGUCGCCGGCCUGAGAGGGUGACCGGCCACAAUGGGACUACGGUACGGACCAGACUCCUACGGGAGGCAGCAGGGGGGAAUAUUGCACAAUGGGCGGAAGCCUGAUGCAGCAACGCCGCGUGCGGGAUGACGGCCUUCGGGUUGUAAACCGCUUUCGCCUGUGACGAAGCGUGAGUGACGGUAAUGGGUAAAGAAGCACCGGCUAACUACGUG